rnacentral:lncRNA from 1 species
UUUGUUUUCCUGUAGGUGGCCUGGAGGAAGUGUUUGCUGCUGUGGGUGAGUCAGUGUCACUCACUUGCACUUCCUCUCUCAGUUCUGGAGGCAACACAGAGUGGACUGUGAACAAAACACCACUGAGAAACAUGUCAUCUGAAACCAGCCCAACAAAAGCAUUUCACCUGGAUGAAGACUCAUCGUUGGUGAUCAGUAAACUGAGUCCUCUGAAUGCAGGAGAAUAUCAGUGUACUGAGUCCACCGGCCUGCAAAGAGUCCUCAACAAAAUCAGGCUGCACACACUCGAUGGUAAGGGUCAAGACUGCUAAAUGGAUCCAGAAACCAUCAUCAGAUCGCCAAAUUAUCCCUGUUGAUUUUUUAACAUUACAGUUACGGCAGAGUCCACGUCAGCAGGAGUGAAGCUCACCUGUGUGCUAACUUGUGCUGAACAAUGUGAAGAAAACUUUAACCUAAGCUGGUCUGGAACCAGUCGAGAAGGUUGGCAGAGCAGAUCAACGACUGUCAAUAAAACACUGAUCAGCAUGAUGCUUCUCACAGUUUGGCCUCAAAGCUCAGAUGAAUUCAUUUGUUCAGUGAAGAGAGAAGGUUCAACCAUGGCCCUGAAGGAGUGGCACGCUGAUUUCUGUAUGGAUUAUUAAUGGAUUUCAUCAUUUGUUAAACUUUCUAAAAUAAGUGCAUUUUGCCCUGUUCCUGUAAGAAGGAGCAAAGGUAAUGAGGUGUUUCUUCUCCUCAGCUCUGCAGACACUUAUCAGGUUAUGUGUCCAUCUUGUCCUCCUGAUGGGUGCAGCUGCAGGAGGACUGUACACACACAUGAAGUGGAAGCAGAGGAAGGCUGCAGGUACAGGAUCUGGUCAAAGCAACAGAACACAACAAUAUUGAAAUGGAACUUCUCGUCCACCAGCCAGCCUCCAUCAUCAAGAAAUAGACUCAUCGGAUUCAAACCCUGCCUGCCAGCCCCGUCGCUCGCC